GACGUGCUUACCCCCUGCCGUUAAAUUCAGCACCUUAAUGACACAAAAAGCGUUGGGAUAGCCAUGACUGGUCUGAUAGGAGAGUGCACAAUCCGACGUGGUCCAGCCAUCGAGCGGUGCCUGUUCAACGCAUGACUACAAUUCGCAUGUUCUUAAGAACCCAGUACCAAGAUAUACAUGCACACCUCCGUGGCAUGCGUUCCAGGAUGAUCGAUGCAGCGGUCGUGCAUGGAUUGCGGUACGGAGGAUUUCAGCCGUACUCGUUCGUGUUGAUCCUUGUGAUGGCGCGUGGUGCAUACGCGUUGGCGCUAUAAUUGACGACCAAGUAGAGCUGCAUUUCAGAUAUCCACGACUCAUUUGGUUUGGGGCGACUGGACCUUGAUGCAGUUGAAAGGAGCAGCGGACGAAGUGGGGACAUGGCACCAGCGGCUCUGCCUCAAUCAAAGCGACUAUCCAAACCGGCGUUUGAGUUAUAGGCCUUAAUGUUACUGGCACAACUUAUACUAAACAGACAAACCGGAAAAGCCGAUGGGGUAGGGAACAAGAGGCUGGAGAACUUCUUGCAGUUUGGGCUUGCAAACAAGACACAGACCGGCGAGGAGACCUUGUUUGAGCUUACGUUCAAGGAAGAUAAUGUGACUAAGGCUGGCGCGCAUCGAGAUGGAUACAUUUGGCAACAUUUGAUUUUGGGUGCUGACGUGCCCAGAGGGAAGAAGCGAAUAUAUGGACCGAGGUGAAAUAAGAGGGAUGCGAUAGCGUGAAGGUGCAGGAUUGUUCAGGGAUGUAAUAUUAUGACAUAAUGCGAAUAAAUGUGCCCUGCGGUCUUGCGGACAUAAAGUGCGCAGCUGGU
rnacentral:lncRNA from 1 species